rnacentral:rRNA from 1 species
UACGAAGGGGGCUAGCGUUGCUCGGAAUCACUGGGCGUAAAGCGCACGUAGGCGGAUUGCUAAGUCAGGGGUGAAAUCCUGGAGCUCAACUCCAGAACUGCCCUUGAUACUGGCGAUCUCGAGUCCGGGAGAGGUGAGUGGAACUGCGAGUGUAGAGGUGAAAUUCGUAGAUAUUCGCAAGAACACCAGUGGCGAAGGCGGCUCACUGGCCCGGUACUGACGCUGAGGUGCGAAAGCGUGGGGAGCAAACGGG